ensembl:lincRNA
UACAGGAGAAAAAAGUUCAUUCAAUAGGAAAGAUGUAAACUGUAACCAGUGAUGCUCAAAAAUUGAAGGUCUGAUUCAAUUUUGACAUAGCGAAUGAAAUUGGACUCAUUUUAUGAAAGCUUGGCUAUAUUAUCUGAUGAGGCUAAUGAGGGAAGAAGGUGUUUUAUUGCAAAACAUUAACUGUAAACAAUCAACUAGAAUCCAUUAAGCUGUUUAUUCUUGAAAUCAUUCUUUCAGACUGAUUACUUAAGUAUCAAAUGCAAUAAAGCAAUCAACUUAUUCUUCUUUUAUUUAUUUGUUUUUUUACUACUUAGUUCUUAUGGGAAAUUCUAUCCAGGUCAUCAUAACACAAUUGAAAACAACUGAUAAUGAAAAGAAUGCUAAUUGGUUUCCUCUCUCUCUUAUCACUGAUCCGUACACAGACCAAGGACAGAACCCAGAGGGCUAA